CCUACGGGUGGCAUCAGUGGGGAAUUUUGCGCAAUGGGCGAAAGCCUGACGCAGCGACGCCGCGUGGGUGAUGAAGGCCCUCGGGUUGUAAAGCCCUGUGGGGAGGGAAGAAUAAGGGUAUGUAAAUAGCAUAUCUGAUGACGGUACCUCCUUAGCAAGCACCGGCUAACUCUGUGCCAGCAGCCGCGGUAAGACAGAGGGUGCAAACGUUGUUCGGAAUUACUGGGCGUAAAGCGCGUGUAGGCGGCUGUGCAAGUCGGAUGUGAAAGCCCUUGGCUCAACUGAGGAAGAGCAUUCGAAACUGCGCAGCUUGAGUUCUGGAGAGGAUGGUGGAAUUCUCGGUGUAGAGGUGAAAUUCGUAGAUAUCGAGAGGAACACCAGUGGCGAAGGCGGCCAUCUGGACAGAAACUGACGCUGAGACGCGAAAGCGUGGGUAGCAAACA
rnacentral:rRNA from 1 species